AUUGAACGCUGGCGGCAGGCCUAACACAUGCAAGUCGAACGAGUGGCGGACGGGUGAGUAAUGUCUGGGAAACUGCCUGAUGGAGGGGGCUACCUACUGGAAACGGUAGCUAAUACCGCAUACCAUCGGAUGUGCCCAGAUGGGCUUAGCUAGUAGGUGGGGUAAAGGCUCACCUAGGCGACGAUCCCUAGCUGGUCUGCGAGGAUGACCAUGCACACUGGAACUUCGACAGGGUCCAGACGCCUACGGGAGGCAGCAGGGGGGAAUAGUUCAAAAUGGACGAAAGCGUGAUGCAGCAAUACCGCGCGUAUGAAGAGGGCCUUGGGGUUGUAAAGUACAUUCAGCGGGGAAACGUUACCCGCAGAAGAGGCGCCGGCUAACUCCGGGCCAGCGGCCACGGUGAUUC
rnacentral:rRNA from 1 species